AACGAACGCUGGCGGCAUGCCUAACACAUGCAAGUCGAACGAGACCUCCGGGUCUAGUGGCGCACGGGUGCGUAACGCGUGGGAACUUGCCCUUAGGUUCGGAAUAACUCCCUGAAAGGGGUGUUAAUACCGGAUAAUGUCUUCGGACCAAAGAUUUAUCGCCUUUGGAUGGGCCCGCGUUGGAUUAGCUAGUUGGUAGGGUAAAAGCCUACCAAGGCGACGAUGCAUAGCUGGUCUGAGAGGAUGAUCAGCCACACUGGGACUGAGACACGGCCCAGACUCCUACGGGAGGCAGCAGUGGAGAAUAUUGGACGAGGGGCGAAAGCCUGAUCCAGCAAUGCCGCGUGAGUGAUGAAGGCCUUAGGGUUGUAAAGCUCUUUUACCCGGGAUGAUAAUGACAGUACCGGGAGAAUAAGCACCGGCUAACUCCGUG
rnacentral:rRNA from 1 species